AUGAACGCUGGCGGCGUGCUUAACACAUGCAAGUCGAACGGUGAACGAGGGAGCUUGCUUCCCGAUUUAGCGGCGGACGGGUGAGUAAUGCCUAGGAAUCUGCCUAUCAGUGGGGGAUAACGUUCCGAAAGGAACGCUAAUACCGCAUACGUCCUACGGGAGAAAGUGGGGGAUCUUCGGACCUCACGCUAAUAGAUGAGCCUAGGUCGGAUUAGCUAGUUGGUGAGGUAACGGCUCACCAAGGCGACGAUCCGUAGCUGGUCUGAGAGGAUGAUCAGCCACACUGGAACUGAGGCACGGUCCAGACUCCUACGGGAGGCAGCAGUGGGGAAUAUUGGACAAUGGGCGAAAGCCUGAUCCAGCCAUGCCGCGUGUGUGAAGAAGGUCUUCGGAUUGUAAAGCACUUUAAGUUGGGAGGAAGAGUUGUAAGCUAAUAUCUUGCAGCUUUGACGUUACCAACAGAAUAAGCACCGGCUAACUCUGUGCCAGCAGCCGCCGUAAGAC
rnacentral:rRNA from 1 species